AGAGGAAUAGCUGGGUCAAAUGCUGGUUCCAUUCCCAGCUUUCCAAGGAAUCGCCACACUGCUUUCCAAAUUCGCUGCACCAAUUUGCAGUCCCACCAGCAAU
rnacentral:pre_miRNA from 1 species